rnacentral:ncRNA from 1 species
UACCUGGUUGAUCCUGCCAGUAGUCAUAUGCUUGUCUCAAAGAUUAAGCCAUGCAUGUCUAAGUAUAAGCGACUAUACUGUGAAACUGCGAAUGGCUCAUUAAAUCAGUUAUGGUUUAUUUGAUGGUACCUUGCUACUUGGAUAACCGUAGUAAUUCUAGAGCUAAUACAUGCAGGAGUUCCCGACUCACGGAGGGAUGUAUUUAUUAGAUAAGAAACCAAACCGGUCUCCGGUUGCGUGCUGAGUCAUAAUAACUGCUCGAAUCGCACGGCUCUACGCCGGCGAUGGUUCAUUCAAAUUUCUGCCCUAUCAGCUUUCGAUGGUAGGAUAGAGGCCUACCAUGGCGUUAACGGGUAACGGAGAAUUAGGGUUCGAUUCCGGAGAGGGAGCCUGAGAAAUGGCUACCACAUCCAAGGAAGGCAGCAGGCGCGUAAAUUGCCCGAAUCCUGACACAGGGAGGUAGUGACAAGAAAUAACAAUACAGGGCUAUUUUAGUCUUGUAAUUGGAAUGAGUACAAUUUACAUCUCUUCACGAGGAUCAAUUGGAGGGCAAGUCUGGUGCCAGCAGCCGCGGUAAUUCCAGCUCCAAUAGCGUAUAUUAAAGUUGUUGCAGUUAAAACGCUCGUAGUCGGAUUUCGGGGCGGGCCGACCGGUCUGCCGAUGGGUAUGCACUGGCCGGCGCGUCCUUCCACCCGGAGACCGCGCCUACUCUUAACUGAGCGGGCGCGGGAGACGGGUCUUUUACUUUGAAAAAAUCAGAGUGUUUCAAGCAGGCAGUCGCUCUUGCAUGGAUUAGCAUGGGAUAAUGAAAUAGGACUCUGGUGCUAUUUUGUUGGUUUCGAACACCGGAGUAAUGAUUAACAGGGACAGUCAGGGGCACUCGUAUUCCGCCGAGAGAGGUGAAAUUCUCAGACCAGCGGAAGACGAACCACUGCGAAAGCAUUUGCCAGGGAUGUUUUCACUGAUCAAGAACGAAAGUUAGGGGAUCGAAGACGAUCAGAUACCGUCGUAGUCUUAACCAUAAACCAUGCCGACUAGGGAUUGGAGGAUGUUCCAUUUGUGACUCCUUCAGCACCUUUCGGGAAACUAAAGUCUUUGGGUUCCGGGGGGAGUAUGGUCGCAAGGCUGAAACUUAAAGGAAUUGACGGAAGGGCACCACCAGGAGUGGAGCCUGCGGCUUAA